CCUUCCUGGACUGAAGCAAGCCUCCCUUCUCAGCCUCCAGAGUAGCUGGAACUACAGGGGUGUGAGUCCCAUGUCCCCCCGUGCUCCGGGGGUGUGAGUCCUGCAUCCUCCUGUGCUCCGGUGCUGUGAGUCCCCUGUCCCCUCAUGCUUUGGUGCUGUGAGUCCCGUGCCCUCCUGUGCUCUGGUGGUGCAAUGCUGAGUUUGGCGCUGAAACUCUCUGAGCUUCAUUUCUUACCAUCAGAUCACACAGAAUCGAGCCUGGCCACUUCUGUUCAAUGUGAUUGAGAGAGGCAUCCGUGCUAUGCAUAACUGCAAUUCGCCUGUCUUCACUGCUGUGUAAGAGUCAAGUGAUGGGAUAGCUGUCUUCACUGCUGCGUAAGAGUCCGGUGAUGGGACACUGUCUUCACUGCUGUGUAAGAGUCAAGUGAUGGAAUAGACUGCAAUACAUUUUCCCAUGAAUCUGUUAAUGGGCUCCUGGGCUGUUUCUGGUUUGGGGGUGUCAUGAAUGAGGCUGGCAUGAGCACACGAAUUCUGGCUGAGUGGUAUUUUCAGCAGCUUGGCCAAAAGGUGUGACUUUUCAGGACCUGGCUGAAGAAGGACUCUAGGGAAAAGGGCUGAUGGGCAGGAAAGCAGUGGCAGAGGGGCUGGCCAAGCCACAGCUGGCAGGUUAUUGUUCCUAGUGCCCCAAUCAACACACCUCAGUUCCCAACUGGGGCACGGAAAAGGCUGACUCCAUGAGCUCUCAUGGCAUGGAAGACCCAGUUGUGCCCAGUGGAUGCAAGCUCCCUCCAUUUCUGGCCAUCCCCUGCUGCUUCCCUCACACCCCCACCUUCAGCCCCACCCCACCUUCUCCACCAGGUGCCCUCCGGUGACUUCAGCUCCAUGGACAGCUCCCAGACUGCUGUCCUCCCUGUGGUACUGAAAUCACCCCAACAGGGAAGCCAAGGCACGGAGAAGCUAAAGAAGAGAAUGGAAUGAAAUGGCACGGGUGGAGCUAAUGAAAUGGCAUGGGAUGGGGCUACAAAGCCAUCUGUCCUGAGCCUGCCACCACGUGGAAGUGGACACGGGUCCAGAGAGGGAAGUCAUUUGACCAAAGGGGUCAUGAAGUGCUCGGUGGUAAGAAAUGGAAACUUCUAUGACGACCAAGAUUUAUGGAAUCCUGUCUGCAUGCCAGGCACCAUGCUGAGUGUUUGUAUGUGGACUGCCACAGUCAACCCACACGGCAAGCUCAAGAGUAGGGCCUACGACUGUACCUGCUCAACGGAGGAGAAGCCUCAUCUGACAGCAGCAGGGCCGGGCCUGGAACCUGUGUCUUCAGCCCCACCCCGGGCCUUUCCUCCCCUGCCCUUUGUCUCAGUGGGUCCACUGUUUCUCUAGAACAAGAAAAUGACAGUCACAGCAGCGUUGACAUCACCCCAGUGUAUGAGUCAGGGUUCUCUAGAGGGACAGCACUAAUAAGAUAGAUGUAUACAUGGAGGGGAGUUUACUGGGAGUAUUGACUCACCGA